rnacentral:rRNA from 1 species
GACGAACGCUGGCGGCGUGCUUAACACAUGCAAGUCGAACGGAAAGGCCCUGCUUUUUUGGGGUGCUCGAGUGGCGAACGGGUAAGUAACACGUGAGUAACCUGCACUUGCCUGUGGGAUAACUUCAUGAAACUGGGUCUCAUACCGGAUAGGAGCUCCUGCUGCAUGGUGGGGGUUGGAAAGUUUCGGCGGUUGGGGGUGGACUCGCGGCUUAUCGGCUUGUUGGUGGGGUAGUGGUUUACCAAGGCUAUGACGGGUAGCCGGCCUGAGAGGGUGACCGGCCACAGUGGGACUGAGACACGGACCAGACUCCUACGGGAGGCAGAAGCGGGAAAUAGUGCACAAGGGGAGGAAGCCUGAGGCAGCAACGGCGCGUGCGGGAUGAUGGCCUUCGGGUUGUAAACCGCUUGCGCCUGUGACGAAGAGUGAGUGACGGUAAUGGGUAGAGAAGCACCGGCUAACUACGUG